ACACUCCUACGGGAGGCAGCAGUGGGGAAUUUUGGACAAUGGGCGAAAGCCUGAUCCAGCAAUGCCGCGUGAGUGAAGAAGGCCUUCGGGUUGUAAAGCUCUUUUGUCAGGGAAGAAACGGUGAAAGCUAAUAUCUUUUGCUAAUGACGGUACCUGAAGAAUAAGCACCGGCUAACUACGUGCCAGCAGCCGCGGUAAUACGUAGGGUGCAAGCGUUAAUCGGAAUUACUGGGCGUAAAGCGUGCGCAGGCGGUUUUGUAAGUCUGAUGUGAAAUCCCCGGGCUCAACCUGGGAAUUGCAUUGGAGACUGCAAGGCUAGAAUCUGGCAGAGGGGAGUAGAAUGCCACGUGUAGCAGUGAAAUGCGUAGAUAUGUGGAGGAACACCGAUGGCGAAGGCAGCCCCCUGGGUCAAGAUUGACGCUCAUGCACGAAAGCGUGGGGAGCAAACAGGAUUAGAUACCCCAGUAGUCCCAUGA
rnacentral:rRNA from 1 species